AUUGAACGCUGGCGGCAGGCCUAACACAUGCAAGUCGAAUGGUAACAGGAAACAGCUUGCUGUUUCGCUGACGAGUGGCGGACGGGUGAGUAAUGUCUGGGAAACUGCCUGAUGGAGGGGGAUAACUACUGGAAACGGUAGCUAAUACCGCAUAACGUCGCAAGACCAAAGAGGGGGACCUUCGGGCCUCUUGCCAUCAGAUGUGCCCAGAUGGGAUUAGCUAGUAGGUGGGGUAACGGCUCACCUAGGCGACGAUCCCUAGCUGGUCUGAGAGGAUGACCAGCCACACUGGAACUGAGACACGGUCCAGACUCCUACGGGAGGCAGCAGUGGGGAAUAUUGCACAAUGGGCGCAAGCCUGAUGCAGCCAUGCCGCGUGUAUGAAGAAGGCCUUCGGGUUGUAAAGUACUUUCAGCGGGGAGGAAGGGAGUAAAGUUAAGACCUUUGCUCAUUGACGUUACCCGCAGAAGAAGCACCGGCUAACUCCGU
rnacentral:rRNA from 1 species